rnacentral:rRNA from 1 species
UGGGGAAUAUUGCACAAUGGGCGCAAGCCUGAUGCAGCCAUGCCGCGUGUGUGAAGAAGGCCUUCGGGUUGUAAAGCACUUUCAGCGAGGAGGAAGGUGGUGAACUUAAUACGUUCAUCAAUUGACGUUACUCGCAGAAGAAGCACCGGCUAACUCCGUGCCAGCAGCCGCGGUAAUACGGAGGGUGCAAGCGUUAAUCGGAAUUACUGGGCGUAAAGCGCACGCAGGCGGUUUGUUAAGUCAGAUGUGAAAUCCCCGGGCUCAACCUGGGAACUGCAUUUGAAACUGGCAAGCUAGAGUCUCGUAGAGGGGGGUAGAAUUCCAGGUGUAGCGGUGAAAUGCGUAGAGAUCUGGAGGAAUACCGGUGGCGAAGGCGGCCCCCUGGACGAAGACUGACGCUCAGGUGCGAAAGCGUGGGGCAGCAAACAGGAUUAGAUACCCUGGUAGUCCACGCUGUAAACGAUGUCGAUUUGGAGGUUGUGCCCUUGAGGCGUGGCUUCCGGAGCUAACGCGUUAAAUCGACCGCCUGGGGAGUACGGCC